CGCUGGCCCCGCUCCCCCGCAGCCCUCCCGAGGCGCGGGGCGGGCGGGCCGCUGGCUCAGCCCCGCGGGGGGGAUGCCGGGCCCCCGCCGGGAGGGGACCGCUCCUCCAUGUCGGCUGCAGCUGCCCGCCGCUUCCUCCCCGCACGGCCGCCGACGAGGGGCCGCCUCCCGCCCUCAGCCAGCCGCCCGCCCAGCCGGGACGGCGGCAGCAGCAGCCACUCUGCUCUGCUCCGCCCGCCCGCCCGUCUGAGGGGAGGAAGGGGAGCGCGGGGACGCGCUCAAGCGGCCGCCACCAUCUUCCUCACGGCGCGGGGGGGGUUCGGGGGGGCUGCGGGAGCGCGCCCCCGCUGGCCAAUUGGGCGCGGCGGCGCGGCGGGAGCGCGCCCCCCCCUACACACACACACUUCCCGCCUCAGUGCGAGGGUCGCGGGCGGCAGCGGGGACGGUCCCCUCAGAGAGGGACGGGCGUGAUGUCGGCGGUGCUGUCCAUGGGACAGGGACGGGACAGCGAGGGGCGGCAGGAGCCGGGCGGCACCUUAGCGGGGCCAGUCCGCGGGGCCAGUCCGCGGGGCCGAGCGCCGGGGUUCCCGGGCUGCCCCCGCCGCCGCCCUCCCCACCGGCUGACAUUUGCCAUGCGCAGACAACACGCACUUCACCAAACAAUUCAGCCCGAGCCCCGCUGCAAACUCGCUGGGUUAUUUUUCUCCUCGUUCUCCGCUUGUUUAUGGCUGACGCUAUCUCGCCUGCACCGCUCCCUCGGUUUCAUUAUCUCUCCUCGCAGAUGGACCGUGGCUUUCCUUCUUCGCAGGGCUUCUCUCUGCUGGUGCUAGAGCUCCCUCUCCUCUGCCCGGCUCUGCAUCCCUCACCCUUGCUCACAGGUGAGCGUUCCCCAGCGAAGCACUUCACUGCAGCCGUCCUUCCUCCUGCAGUCCCUUCUCUGAAGGCCCCAGCACCCCGUAAAAUAAAGCCAAUGUAAUAAUAGUGGCAUUGUGGCCAGCGGGACCAGGGCAGUGACCAUCCCCUGCGCUGGGGCACCUCCAAUCCCGGGGAUGAUGAAUUUUUUAAUCAUCAGGAUUAAAGAAGUGCAACAGUUUCCAAGGAUUCAAAGGCAUGGUGGGAAAAGAAGAAAAGUUUUUUACCUCAUUGGCAGAAAAUUUAAGAGCAAUCAUUGCAAGUUUUGAAUCCUGGAAGCCUCCAGGUGAAAGAACUCAUUUAGGAAAACCAAAACUCAGCAAAUCUUCUGGCUUCUUUUCGAAGACUAACAGAAGAUCACUUUGACAUCUGUUCCAUAUGAACCCAUGGAAGCCGAGUAAAUGGGUGGUGCAUUCUCACCUCCUUGCAGUGCCUAGAUUUCUAGGAAGAAGAGAAUUGCUGGGGCAUUUCUGUGACCUGAUCCCUCAUCUUGGUUGAUCCGCGAUGGAAAGGUGACCCCGGGAACGGCUGGGAAUGAUCUGGUGAGAGCCAUUGCUGUCUGAGCCAAGCACAGUGUUCCCAACUGCAUCCCUGAAUAGAUUCACUUGCUCUUUCCCUGGCUCUAUUUUAGCCACAAAUCUGUUAUUCUGCCCUGUGGGUGCCAACAUUUUGUUAAAAAAUAACCAAACUCAGGAAUAUUGGAUUUCUGGUGCACUUUUUUUCCUCCAAAAGGGUUGAAGUGAACGUUCUUCUCACCUAUACCUAGGACUUCAUCUGUGUGGCUGCAACUCUGGUGACAUCCAGAAAGAUGCAUGACCCUUCCUUCAGUGGAGCAGAUAUAUCUUAGCAACUUAGCAAUGUUGUGACAAGUAUGAAGGGGAAGGCAUUGAGAAACUAUCAAUUUUCAGUUUGUAUUUAAGACAAUUUCUACACACUUUUGUGUUCUCAAGCUUGGAAAAAUUUCACUUUUGUCUACAAACACAGGAACCAGCUGUUACUUAAAAUUUUUGUUGUUGUGGUGGGAUUGAGACUUGGAUGAAACAAGAAGGAUUCAUACAGGGAAAUUUAUAGAAUCAAACAAUCAUGGAAUGGUUUGGCUCAGAAGGGACUUUAAAGAUCAUCUCUUUCCAACACCCUGCUGUGGCAGGGACACCUUCCACCAGGUUGAAUGUGAAAGCAAACACCUUCCAAAAUCUCUUGUUUAAAACUGAGCAUGGAUGCAUGCUUGUGCCAUGUGCCUUGUUCUAUUUCCAGAGGAAACAAAAGAAGAAAAUGUUGCUGAGAACACUAAAACAUAACACUUUGGCAAAGGUGGUUAUCACAUCCUCCAGGCAUUUUCACCUGUGGUGCUGCCCUGACAGUUGUGGUGUGUUGUGGAAAUAAAGUGUGAAGCCACUCAGGACUGGGUCCUGCUGGUUGUAGGUGAGCAAGUACAUAAAACCCUUUUGACAGAGGUGAGAGGGAAUGCUUGCUUCCACAGGGGAAGGGGAAUAGUGGUUCUGAGAACUGAAAACACAGCAAAUGUUUGUUGAAAGGGGGAGCUGGGGAGCAGGACAAGGUGGCACACAGAACCCAGUGAAAGGUCACAGAGGGAGAAGUGCCACAAUCCAGAAUUUAUUGCCUAAUGUUACCAGGAUUUAGGAAUGGGACCCUAAUCCUUUUAUAAACCAGGAAUUUCCUUGAGUUGUGUGAAUGGGACAAGCGACAGCCACCAUCAGUAAGCAAAAAUCACACCCCUGUGCUUUGUGGCACACAUUAAACUCUCAGCGGAACAGUCAGGGAAAAUCCCUUCCCAGCAAUUUCCCACCAAAGGCUUCCUCCAGACUGCAGCUUCCAGAAGAUCUGAAUGAUUUGUACCUGUGAGAACUGCUCAGAGGUUGCUUGGUAGAUUCAGAGAGAUUAAUUAUUCACCAAAGAGAACUUGGUAAUGAUGGUGCUACUAUGUGUGAUUUCAUGCCUAAAACUGUCCCACAUCUUGUCUAUUUAUUUGGGAAAUUAAUUUCUAGAACACUUGGAAUACAAAACCAGGAGCUGAAAUUGCCUCUCAGUAUUUCUUCAGUACAAACAAAAAACCAAACAAACAAGCUUAUUGUGUUUCUUACAUGUUCAGUCAAAACAUCUGUUAAUAAUAUUAAACUCCUGGGUACCUGGAGAACCUGUUCUUGAAUAAGCUACAAAGCUGAAGCCUGCCUGAAAAUAUUAGAGUAAGGUAUCCCACCAUCUGAAGGAUUUUCUACACUUCUGCAGUGAUUUUGGGAGGCAGAGACAUGGCCAAAGAGAAAAGGCUCCAGCCAUGCACCAGGGAAGUGGGGCUGAGAAGCAGAGUGAUUGUUCUAAGUGGCUUUUGUCUGUUCAUUUAUCCUCUUUUACUAUCUUUGUUUCCAUUCCUUCCUCAGCUUUAUCUCUGUUGAAGAGCACAGAAAAUAUUCUAUUCCCCUUUCAUAGUUGUAACACAUAUUCAUUAAGUCUAAUUGUAUUAUAACUCAAAUAACUAUUGCCAUGUUUGAUUCCUUAUUUUGACCAUAUAAGCUCUUAAUGAAGAAUUUUCCCUUCAUCUGGAUCUCUUGCUUCCUUUUUUCAUUGAGUUCAGUUCACAGUCAAGUCCAAUGAGCUGCUUUAGAGACUCUUUGAGUGAAGGUGUUUGGAUUUUUAUCCGAUUUUCCCUCCUGCUUUGUCUCACCCGUCCAGCUGUGCUGCUCAGACCAGGAGGCACCACGUCCAUCACUUUGCUACAGCCUCUAACUCCUUCUUCCAAGCCAGAAAUGUGGGCAGGGCUCUUGGAGAGAUUGCCAUCUUCCUAACCUCAGCCUGAGUGUAAACCAACCCACAGCCCACCUCUGUCCCUAGAUGAGCAGUUGUGCUUCUCUAACCAUGGAAACUUCAGUAGCACAGAGCUGCUGCCUUCAUUUUCCCCCAAAAAGGCAAAACACAGCAGUGACAGAUUCGUGGGAGGAUGUUUCUUUCUCCAGUGGAACAAAGCUUCAGGUGGCCACUGCCUGGAGCCCACCACCUCUGCACUGCUCAGUGCCCUAGGAGAGGAUGCAGAUGUAGAAUGUUUGGGCUGAGGUCUUAUUUAAAUUAUGUAUUAGGCUGAAAAAUGGACACACAGGAAUGAAGGAUGCUCCCAGAGCCUGUGGGUGCUGCUGCAGCAUGGAGCUGACAGCAGGGAUGGUCUGGGCUGCUCCAUCCUCCUCCUGCAUCUCAAGGCAAAGACGUGGCAAACACAUGGACUGAAAGAAGUCCCUUUUAUAGGCCUCAAAUCUUACAGAAAAUAAAGAGAUACAGGGCUGAAGAAACCUCUUAGGCUGGAAAUGUAUUCAGUGUUUCUGCAGAAUAGGGAGAGCACAGAGCUUCACUUACCAAAGCCAGCCAAAUCUACAGGACUGUGGGGUUGGAAGACUUUUAUGUCUAGCAAGUAAUAACUGUCUUUAAUUAGCUUUGUUUACAUGAUAGAUGUCAAUGUCAAGCUCUCUCAGUGAAAAGGGCAGAAUGUCCUUAGUGGGAAAUGUGAGUUUUGAAGCCUGACAACAUAGAACCAGCAGGAAGGUUUGUGCUCAGACUGCUGGGGAGAAAAAUCACCUUUGGCUCAACAAAACAGGAAGGAUUUCAAGCCCACAGCAGAAGUUUUUCAAGAAACUAAUGAAAAUGCAGGAUUAUAGUUUAAACUGUUUUGCAA